rnacentral:rRNA from 1 species
GCAGCUAAGAAUCUUCCGCAAUGGUCGAAAGGCUGACGGAGCGACGCCGCGUGGACGAAGAAGGCCGGAAGGUUGUAAAGUCCUUUUCUCGGAGAAGAAUAAUGUGCGGAGGGAAUGCCGCAUUGAUGACGUUAUCUGAGGAAUAAGCCCCGGCUAAUUACGUGCCAGCAGCCGCGGUAACAACGUAAGGGGCAAGCGUUGUUCGGAAUUAUUGGGCGUAAAGGGCGCGUAUGCGGCUGAGCAAGCCUGGUGUGAAAGGCCACAGCUUAACUGUGGGAGUGCGCUGGGAACUGUUUGGCUGGAGUUCAGGAGGGGAAUCUGGAAUUCCUGGUGUAGGGGUGAAAUCUGUAGAUACCAGGAAGAACACCUGUGGCGAAGGCGAGAUUCUGGCCAUGAACUGACGCUGAGGCGCGAAAGCGUGGGGAGCGAACAGGAUUAGAUACCCUGGUAGUCCACGCUGUAAACGAUGUGCACUAGGUGUCGGCUGUAGUAACGGUCGGUGCCGAAGCAAACGCGAUAAGUGCACCGCCUGGGGAGUAUGCUCGCAAGGGUGAAACUCAAAGGAAUUGACGGGGGCCCGCACAAGCGGUGGAGCAUGUGGUUUAAUUCGAUGAUACGCGAGGAACCUUACCAGGGCUUGACAUAUGCAUGACGGUCGUAGAGAUACGGCUUCCCUUCGGGGCGUGCAUACAGGUGCUGCAUGGUUGUCGUCAGCUCGUGCUGUGAGGUGUUGGGUUAAGUCCCGCAACGAGCGCAACCCCUGCUGUCUGUUACCAGCACGUAAAGGUGGGGACUCAGACGGUACUGCCGGUGACAAACCGGAGGAAGGUGGGGAUGACGUCAAAUCAUCAUGGCCCUUAUGUCCUGGGCUACACACGUGCUACAAUGGUCGGUACAGAGCGUCGCAAAACCGCGAGGUGGAGCAAAUCGCAGAAAGCCGGCCUCAGUACGGAUUGGAGUCUGAAACCCGACUUCAUGAAGUUGGAAUCGCUAGUAAUCGCGCGUCAGCAUGGCGCGGUGAUACGUUCCCGGGCCUUGUACACACCGCCCGUCACACCACCCGAGUUGGGGGUACCCGAAGUCGCUCGUCUAACCGGUUAUGGAGGACGG